UUUUUCUUUACAGUUUGUUUUACUUUACCUUUGUAUUGUUUCUCAGGAGAAUACUAAGGGCAUAAAACAAUUUCUCACUUCAUCUUUUACUAAAAGAGAAAGCAGUCCGCAAUACAGAAGCAUUCAUUGAUGGCCUCAUUUUCACAGUUCACGUUUGAUCUACAGAUGAACCCAGCAAUGCCUAAACAUUAUUUUGAUGUUGAGAAGAGCAUGUAUUCAUAUGCCUAGAAUUAAAGUCCUGAGGGUAGGAAUGCACAGCGGAUCUCACUGUGCUCAGCAGCACUGCAAUCCCUAUUUGGACCUGUAGGUGCUACCAAAGUACAAAUAAUACUGAGGGCCUGACAUUUUCCUCCCAGAGGCAAUCCCCAAGAAGCAAAGGCAGAAAGUUUGUUUGGAUUAGUGGGAUGUUAUUCUGAGCAUUGCAGGGUUUACAGAAAUUAGUUGGAAAAUUGCCUGUAUUCCCCAAUGGGACUUAGGCCUUCAUGUGUGACCAGGAAAAGCUGCAAUUGAGAAUGGCUCCUUGCAGUUAUGGAAGGCCAAUCUGCUCCAAAUGCCCCUUAAGAGAUGUGCCAUGGGCAGAAAUACAGACUUGCACUCCCAAAAUGUUGAGUGAGACAGAGUGAUUCUAGGAUUCUGCAGUCUCAGACUUACACCAGCAGCACCCAUGAGCUCAAAUGUCAGAACGUUUGCAGCCACCCCAAAUGUCUGCUCUGCCAUACUUGCAGAAGAUCACAAGCAAUGCAGCAGGGAAGGCUGUAUGACACCUAUAACCACUCCUGAACUUUUCCAUUUUACAGUGUGAAGUAUUACUUAAAUUGAAAUCAGUAACCAUGUCAGUUAUCCAUGCUGCUUGCAUAAAUGAGACCCCACACACAGCUUCUGGUUUUAACUCAGAAUCACUAAUCCUAUGAGAUGCCAAGUGCCCUAUUUAACAAAUGGAGGUUCAGCAAUUUAGCACUUGACGGAAUUAGACAGCGUGAUUCCUCCGAGUGCACAGUGGCAGUGCUUGUGCUAAUGGAACAGAUAAUAUUCCUGCUACGUGGCACUGUGAUCCCAUAUGCCUGACCCAGAUAGAGGAUCAUAUCUCUAAGAUAAUUUUGAGUGACUGAACAGGUCUGAUCAGAAGGAAAUAGGAAAAGAAAACGUGUUGGUCUUACGACAGUGGUAAUCUUGCAGUACAGCUGCUCUGUAUAGUAACAUAGCAGGGGUACCCGAAGCACAAAUGAAACGUAAACAUCAUCCAUCUAUGCUAGAGGUAAGGAGCUCAUGUGACAGAAACAUGAGACAUGAUCAGUAGCAGAAUUCCCAGAAUUCAAUCUUAAAAAAAAAAAAAAAAAAAAAAAAAAAAAAGUCAUUCCUAGUGAGAUCAUCUCCUGUUUUGCUUCUCAAUUUAUCUUCCUGCAAAUACAUAAAAACUGGGGAAACAGCAAAA